UACGGGGGGAGCAAGCGUUGUUCGGAUUUACUGGGCGUAAAGGGCGCGUAGGCGGCCAGUGCAAGUCAGUUGUGAAAUCUCCGAGCUUAACUCGGAAAGGUCAACUGAUACUGCUCGGCUAGAGUGCGGAAGGGGCAACUGGAAUUCUUGGUGUAGCGGUGAAAUGCGUAGAUAUCAAGAGGAACACCUGCGGCGAAGGCGGGUUGCUGGGCUGACACUGACGCUGAGGCGCGAAAGCCAGGGGAGCGAACGGG
rnacentral:rRNA from 1 species